UCGCAAUAGUUUCAUUUUUCUAUUGAGAAAAAGUUAUUUCGCAAUACAUAUCGUUCUAUCGCCCAGCUCUAGUUCAAGGCAAUACUUUUGAGAUUAUUAUAUAUAUUAGAAAAUAUAGCAUAAUGAAAAUACUAGUUAUUGUAAACUUUACAAACCACCCAGCAGUAUGUAAAGUAAAAUUAUAAAAUACUAAUAAAUAACAACUUCACAACAGAAUCUCAGUGUAAUGAACAUACUUAUGUGUUCAUUACCGACACACUUAGUUUUGACAAAGCACGCUGCUUAGGUAAAUGAUCUCAGUAGUUGUUUAUCACUGAGCAAUUUAUGUGUUUCGAGCCAAAUAAAUGACAGUGAGAGAGAGAGAGAGAGAGAGAGUCAAUCGUUGGGUUGCGCAUGCGCAGACAGAUUGCGCGACCGGCGGGCCUUGAACUUUUUAAGGGAAAAAACACUUUCUCACUGACGGUGACAGCGAAGCGGAUAACAGUCUUCAGUACCUGCUGGUCUUUGAAGCUCUGGAUUCUGGGACUGUUGGAAAAGGUAAAACAUUUUCAUUAAAACCUUUUUACUGUUUUGUUUUUGUUACUCCUCAUUGUAGCUUGCUGUUAAUGUGCUAACAAUAACAGUUAGCUAUGUUAGAUACGUUAGCCGUUGAUGUUAACGCAAUUUAGUAUCCGGUAUACAGAAACUGUUUUCCUAACAAAACCACUGUUAUAAUUAAGUGAAGGCGCUCCCAACUAAUUUGAACCUUUGGCUUCUAAAAUAUGUGGUUCUGUUGCGUGCGGCGUACAUAACGUAAUGUCAGCUAGACUGAUUAAAAUUUAUAAUAUUGUUAAUGUCACUAAAAUGGCACCUGAAGCCUGUUGUGAUGUGAGCUCUGUGUCUGCUCUAGAAACUCUGAAAUUCAGUAGAUCUGAGCCGUACAUUAAAUACUCACAUCAGCCUGUACUUUGAAUUCUGUAAGAGCUGUAUAAAACACAGCAAUGCAUAAGUGUUUUGAAUGAAUAGAAAUGUGACACAUUAGAAGGUGUGUCUGUGACUGUUCCUGUGUAACUUAUUUUCAGACUAGUUGACAAGUUAUGCUCCGGCCAUUUGAUGUUACCAAGAUAAUGUCCUUUUGUAAUAUAGUUAAAUUUUCUUUGUACGUUUCAUUUAUCCACCAUCGUACAUUAAGCCAAGAAGAGGUCAUUAUACUAACAAGAGGUAUCAACGCUGGGCCAAAGUUCAGCACAUGGUUAAAGUUUGUAAUCCAGCCAGGCUGUGAAUAUCGCUCAGCAGCCAGUCAUAGAGCUGAAGCAGGUAACAUCAACACAUAAAUCUACUCUACCUGGCUUAAAUCACAAGACUACCUCUGACCGAAAAGCUGUAGAUUUUUCUUGUUUGCACAAAUUAAUUCAGAUUCACACUAACUCUUUUCACAGCUCCAACAAAAUGAGGAAGAGGAGGGAGAAAACCAAUUAGAUUGAAUUACAAUUGGAUGGAAGUCGAGGACAAGGAGGAGGAAGCUUAGGAUGAGGAGGAAGAAAAGCAGCAGGAGCAUCUUUAGGGAUCUCUAUGACGUCAUUGAGAGGCAGCGGCGAGAGGGGAGACCUCGGCUCAUCCAGCUGGACAGCCUGACCAGGAGGAGUCUACAUUAACUCGGCUCUUCCAGGGCACCCUGCAGCUGGCAACACUGGGAUGACGUGAACGCCAAACAGGAGUCCAUCACAGGUCGACUGCAGCUCCUUGUCUCAGAGUGGGAGGGCUUUGAAGCACAAAGGGAGGAGCUUGUCGUUUGGUUGGCUGAUAUGGAUGUCCACCUGAGUGAGGUUGACCAGCUGACAGGAAACACCUGUG